UGUGCUGAGUGAAUGCAACAUAUGCAUCCCCAAAAGUAAACUGGGUGUCAAAUACAUUUCACAUCUGGCAUCUAUUAAAAUAAUGCGUAUGUGUGCAAGCCUGUGUCUGUGUAUAAAACAUGGACGUACUCUCUGAUCUCAAAUAUAGAACAAAAUAUGUGUUUUAAAUGGUGCCUUAAUUUUGUCCCUUUUGUUAACUGGAAAGUUCCUUUAUAUUAAAGUUUGUGCAAAGUAUUUUACUUAACAUAUUAUCUGUAACAGAUUGCAUAAGCAUGACUGUUAUCUGCAUUAGUCAUCGCUUUAGCCCAUGGAAUAUAACUCAUGGCAGUCUGGAUUUAAUGAAUGUUUGAAUUAACAUAUACCUAAUUUCUUGUGUUUUAAAACCUAAAUCUCAUUGAAAGCUGAGCUUUGUUUACUUCCCAAAAUUGAACUGAGGGCCAUUUGGAACACUUAGUGUAUUCUAAAAUGUGAUCGUAUCAACAAUACACGCUCUAGUUUGUUUUAAAGUGAGUUUUUCUUUCCCAGUUUACAUAAAUCAUUUAAAAAAAUCGUUCACUUUUUUGGAUCAUAAUGUACUCACUUGGCUUUUAGACCUACAUAGCUCACAGGCCAAUUUUUCAAACAGGAUUCUAAAGCUAUUUGUGGAUUACUCUCUGUUUGCUACUUGUAAUCUGCAUUCCUGAGGUAAGCAUGGUAAAAAGACUGAAGAUUUUCAUCAAGCUAAGUGAUUAUACUAAAUAGGGCAAUUUUGGGUGAACUCAGCUUCUGUGUUUAAAAAUACAAUGCAGAAGAAACCAACAACACAUUUUCUGUUAAACCACAGAGGGCACUGUUUGUUCUUGAUAUAACGUGACCCCAUCAUGUAGACUCUUGUCGCUCUUCAUUAAGCAAUUACCAUAAGAGCUUAAAAUUAUUAUUUUUUUCUUCUUUUCUUUGAUUUUAAAAUUAACCAGGCGCAUUAUAUGCUGCACACUCUCGUGUUCUGUCAGUGCUUGGCACCAAAUUUUCUGCAUUCACUGGAUCUUCUUCCUCUCCUUACUGCUUUACCAUACCACGUCAAGUCAGACACUUUCCUUCACAGUGCCUCCCUGGAAGAUAUCACCGUCCCUGCUUCACACAGGGUGUAGGCAGAGGCUUUCCCGUUGUUUGGAUGCUCAACCUGCUUCCAACCUGCAGAGGCACAAAAUGGCAAGACCUGUCUCCUCCAAGACAUUUGUGACAACUGUCUAUGGGACACAUGCGUAUACAAGGUAACUAUUGGUUAAUGGCACUAGCGUGAAGUUAGGUUGUCAUCACAUAAGACACCUCUUCAGGCUCUACAAGGGACACCAGGGCCAGGUGACAGGGCAACCUAGUGGAUGGCAACCCUACCCAUGGUGUAGGAGUUGGAAUUGGAUGGACUUUGAGGUCCCUUCCAACACAAGCCAUUCUAUGAUUCUAUGAUUUCAUGAUUCUAUGAUUCUGAGGCGCAAGGCUGAAGAUAUGAACCCGGUGUGCUGGUGAGUUUUCCUGCCCCAUGCCCAUAGCUGAGCAUGGAUAGAGAUGGAAGCAAGUUUCCAUCCCUCCUGCAGAUAUGUUGGUAUUGAGGAGGAAGAUACUGCUCUUAUCAACUUCACCAGGAGCCCAUUCCUCAUUUCUUGAGCAGAGAAGAAUGUUUAUUCAGCUGACACAGUUUUGGGGAAAGUGACUAGAAGGAGACACCACUGUGGAACAGUCUUCCUCCUCAUCGUCUGCAGGGGUUGAUAAAUCCAUACAACAAGUAUGGUGUGGGAGGGAUGAGGACGCAUGGCCAGCAAGAGAAGGGCUGGACCUGGGAAAAUGAAGUAUUCUAACACACAUGGGAUUAUUAUCCUGUUUCUCUAGCAAUUUUCAUCUGAACUCAGCCUACCAAACUUUAAUCAAAAUAACCUUUUUCACUUGAGCACUUGAUUAACCCCCAAAGGCUCCAUCUUUCAUUCAGUUUAAGUAAAUUCAAAUAAUAUGUGUGGAGUACGCGGUGCUGAUCUACACCAGAGCAUAUAUUGAUAGUGGUGUCAUCAGAUGGAAGCCCAGGGAAGG
ensembl:lncRNA